AAUCUACACACAACUGACACGCUUUUCAGUAGAAUCGGCGAGAGUCUCCAUGGGCAACCACGGUUGUCGGAGACACCCGCGUAAACGCGGUUAGUCUCCACUAUGUAGUAUCAUUUAUCCCUUGUUCCCUCGAUCUCCUGGUUGCUUUUCCCUUGCAGAUACGACGAUGAGGACUGGUAAUUCCGGGGGGAAGAUGGGGAGAACGAGGAGACUAAGUCAUUAUAGGCCAUUGUCGCACAAUACGGUUUACAUGCCCAGCACAGCCAUCAACGCUAAGGAGAACCUGGACAGCAAGUCACUCCUAGUAAGGGUCAUAGGAGUGGCUAGGGAAGAAGCGAAGGUUGCAGGCUUCAUCAAGAAUAUCUGGAAACCGAGAGGUACCUUCAGGAUGACGAGGAUAAACCAUCAGUCCUUCAAGGUUGGCUUCUACUCGGAGAGGGACUAUACGCCAAAAUUAAGACAGAGAAAUGGGAUCACCUCGGUGAUGAUCUGAUCAUCAUCAAGCCAUGGGUAGCCAAUGAGAGCGUGGCCGAAGAUGUUGUCGAUUCAAUUUCCCAGAAGGCGCUCAUUCACAACAUCCCGGCAGCGAUGUGGGGGGGUGAGGCCAUCAGUAGAAUCUCGAGUUCACUAGGCAGGCCGAUCGAGGCGAGGGCGGCAGCAGAGCGACAUCCAUCCCUAUCCCCACCACUGGAAGCCUGCGUAAUUAUAGGAAAGAGCUUUAGUUACCCAAAUAACAUCAGAAUCAGAAUGGAAGGCCUCCUGGGGGAGCCGGGAAGGGACACAGUCGUUAGCGUAGAUUAUGAGUAGCGAGUCUCGUUUUGCUUUAGGUGUGCAGAGUUUGGCCAUUGGCCACAGCAGUGUCGAGGGACGGAGACUGAUCGCUUGGGGCGCUAGAAUAACUACAUUGCAUCGGUCACGUCAAGGGCAGAACCCAUCUCCGAUAAUCACCAGGGCAACUUUUCCGCCAAUCCCAAAUUGAAUUUCAAAAAUUCGAAACUCAAAAGGAAGAGCCCUACUAGGAGAUCCCAUCGUCGUCGAGCAAGGUUAGAGUACAGACCUGUCCAUAGCCAAACUGACGAAAGGCGCGAGUACGAAAAAUCGCACAGGGGCCAAGACG
rnacentral:lncRNA from 1 species